UAGAGGCUAGUCUUGUCACCUGCCAAUCCAUUAUUAUCACAAGCACCACCGCAGCCACUGCUCUUCAUUACACUUCCACAACCGCCACCACAUCCACCACCGCAACCACCACCACAGCCACUGGUCUUCAUUACACUUCCACAACCGCCACCACAUCCACCACCGCAACCACCACCGCAGCCACUGCUCUUCAUUACACUUCCACAACCGCCACCACAUCCACCACUGCACCCACCUCCACAGCCACCAGAAUUUUCACCACAUAAAGCAUCUCCACAGCUGCCUCCACAUCCACUGCCACAACCUCCAGCUUUUUCUGCAGCACCACCACAGCCUGAAGCACAACUGUUGCUCUUGGCUGGCGUCGCAGCACUACUGCUAGUCCCAGUCAUGAUAGCAUCCAUUGCCUGCGAGGAAUUCAUGAUCUUGUCUUUUGAAUUUUGCUUAUCGACUUCCAGAUUUGAAUUGCUUCUCUCCUUAACAUUCUUUUCACAGGCAAUGAGAGAACUGUGUCCUUCUUUCUUCAACAUGUCUGCGAGAAUAAAUGCCAGCAGGAUCCCCGGCAACACAAACCACUCUUCACAGACCUGUAAUUAUUUGCGUAAGGAGAAUUAUGGGAGAUUUCAGCAUAAGUUAGAGGGAAAUAGAUACGGACAGGAAGAAGGAUCUGUGCUACCUUGAUAGACUUGGAUUUCAUGUCACACAAAGCAAUUGCUUUUCCAUAUGGGUUUUCAGCACAGAACUCUACAACUGUGAUAAAGUUGCGAUCAGUUCGCUCCUUGUAGUUUUUGGGUUCAUACUUUAGCUUUUUACCAAGAAAGAGUUUUAUCUGUUCCAUCACCAGAGAAGAAUGUCAUUACUGAAAGUUUGGUUACUGGGCUACAUGGUCGAACCUUAGAAGAAUAACCACAAAUGGAGAAAGAGCAGAGGUCAUAAGAGGAAAGGCAAGGUGCAGAAGGCUUCAAAAGUUAUUAUGCCAGAUAAUCCGGUCAUUAUAAUUUGGUCAAGAACAUAAUAUUAUUUUUUUCUCAAUAAGAGACAGUCAACUGCGCAUAGGUAAGCAGACUUGCAAUCCUUCUGCUGGUAUAAAUUAGUAUCUGAAAUCAUCAAACUUACAACCCUACCUCAUGUUGUACCACCAACAAAUGCAGCAGCCAACUGGUUAAAAGAUUUGUCAAAGCCAAAAUACCAAUAUGGUGUAAACGAUGAGCUACCGUUCCACACACAUAACUUUGGCACACAAGUCCACAUGAUAAAUAGGAUAAACAAUUUUUUUUAACUACUAAAUAUACAUUUCAAGGCUGACAACUGUUAUGUAAUGUCUCUUUUACAAAUUUUAGUUAAUUCCAACAUCCUACACCUUAAAAAUGACACAAAUACUGCCAUUGGCUAAGAGAUUGUCUCAUUUGAAUUACAUUAGAAGUCUCUUAGACCUGGAAUAAAUAUAUGGUUCCUUUUCAGAGUCAAUUAUGAAAUUUCAGACUUAGAAAGUUAUAUGUUUGUAAAGCUAUCACACACAAAAUAUUCAUAGGUCUGAUAGAUUAAAGGAACUUAGCCGAUUUAGCUAGGUUAACAUGUAGUCUUUCAUUUUUUGGCUGGUGUUAGAGUGUCGGUUUGUCAGGUUGGGUCUAUUUUGAUUUUCCUCUUGCCAAUGGCCUUCAAGAAUGAGUUAUGGUGACAAAUGUGAUGAAGUCAAGAGUGAGUGUUUUUUUGGAGAGAAUGAGUAGUUUACUUCCCUACUAAUCAGCAACACCAAAACAACUACUUCGUAGUUUAGUCACCUAUUUCCUCUGCUCCAUUUUUCAGGGGAGUUUGCAGGCUUCUCAUCUGGAUCCCCUCUCAAUCGCACAUUAAGAUUGUAUAUAAUCGAGUUUUAAUAUUCUUUCUAUUCAAAUCUCAGCCCAAUAGAUUCAUGAAGGUCAAGAAAAAAUAUUACAAAUGUUGUUAUUUCAUCCAUGGAUAGAUCAAUAGCAUGCAACAGAUUGUGAUGCAACAAAAAAUAAUAAAAGUAGCAGCAGAGAUAACUGUGAUGAAUCUCAUGAAAGCAUCAGAAGCCUCACUGUGUUGGAAAAAGUAAUAAUUAUGCUAACACAUCCUAUCAUUGGCCACACUGAAUGGUGGAAGCAUCAUCAGGAACCAUCAAAUGGAGUAAUGCACAAUUCCAAAAGAUCAGUAAAAGUACCAGCAGAAUGACUGUCAUGUAAACUAAUAUUUCACAAGAGCUAGCAGAAGAGAUAUGCCUACCUGGUGUUCACCAUUGAGUUCAAGUAUAUGACCAUGUUGGUCCGUACUCUUAUCAAUACUAAAGGACAGAUUAGAAUCAUUCAGUGACCAUUUGUUUUCUGCGUACUCUGCUAGCAGACGUGGCUUUGUUGAUAAUUUUGUUACUCCAAUCACUUCCCUCUUGAAAAUAGAGUUGUUACUUUCCUCUGUUUUCUUAUAAUUCCUGUGGUAAUAAGUUCCACGCCAAAAUAGGAAAAAAGGACCAUCAAUCUAAUAAAAUCUAAUGCAGCAUGCGAAUUAAGAAAAACUGAAAUGAUAAGUGGCAGCAUUCCCACAAUUCCUCAUCCACUUACACAUGCUUGUUGAGGUGGCUAUCAUGAAAAGUAUUUAACCUUUCAGUAAUAUGAUAAAAUGACAUUUUGUACUGGUAUAACAUAAAUCUUUCUGAUAUUUUCUUUUUUAUAUAUAAUUUUUUCAUUUAUAUUGUAUCCUUAGGUUCUAGCACUCUGCAUACUGUUAUAUAUGGAACCAUACAUGUGGAUUUGAGGAGUCUAACUUUCAGAUCUGCUAAUAUCAAGGAUGCUCAGGGUUAGUAAUUAAUCAUGAAGUGAGCAUACACUAAGUCCAGGUCUGUGCAACAGUAUGUAUUUGAGUGCCAGGCAUAUGCACAUGAAGGCAAAACAUGAAUGGCCAUAUAACAUGAAAGACAUUUUUGAUUCUUUUCAUGAAAAUGUAACCAUAAGCAAGAUAAUUUGUUUGAAGUUUGCAUUCUACCAUUUUGCAUGCCAGAAGUUUUCUAUUCUUUUCAUGAAAGUUUAACCAUAAGGUAGAAAAAAUGUUUGAACUUUGCAUUCCAGCAUUUUGCUAACUGAUACACAGCAAAAAAAAAAAAAAAACAAAAGGACAAGCUGAGUCUCAGAUUCUCAUAUUAAUUCCUGCUAAUAUCUGGGAUGCUUGGGGUCACUAAUUAAUCAAAAAGGAAGCAUACACCAAGUAAGCAUGCACACAGGCAGGCCAGCUGGUGGGGUGGCUUGUGCACAUGUGUCAAGCAUGUGCACAUGAAAGCAAAACAAGAAUGCCCAUACAAUACAAAAGAAUUUUCAAUUCUUUUUUAAAGAAAAUUUAAACUUCAGCAAGAAAAUUGUUGGAGUUGAGCAGAAAAAUAUGUUAUGAUUUUGCAUUCAUCAGGAUGGCAUAUAUAUAUACAAUAGUACAAAGAUUCAGAAAAUCGGAAUCCCAUGAUGUUAGUGUAAGAAAUAAACAGAAUCGGGAUCCCAUGAUUUAGUGCACAUGAUAUAUAUUACAGAAAUUUCACUGAUACUCCCUAAUAUGGUACAUUAGCUGAAAUUUUUUCUUGAUAUUCUCUGACAUUUUCCGAUAUUCUCUAAUAUUAGCUGAAUGUUGGGAUCCCAUGGUUUUAGUGCACAUGAUACACAUUGCAGAAAUUUCUCCAAUACGCCCUACUCUAGUACAUUAGCUGAAAAUCUUUCCAAAUAUUCUGUGAUAUUUUCUGAUAAUUUUUAAUAUGGUAUAUCGACCGGAAAUUUUUUUGAUAUUCUCUGAUAUUUCAUAAUAUUCUCUAAUAUCAGCUGAAAAUCUUUCCUGAUAUUAUCUAAUAAAAAUGUUUUUGAAGUUGGUGCAUAUUAUACAUACCUCAUUCGUACACUAAUUACUUCAUUUCCAAUGUCAUCCAUGAAACGAGUCCAGCUUUUU
rnacentral:lncRNA from 1 species